CAGUAUUAACAUCUUUUCUCUAUUAAGCUCUUUGUUGCUGUGAAGAAAAACUGAAGACCUUUUUGAUUUGUUUGCAUUUUUAUAAGACAAUUGUGUAUCCAGUUCCCAGUCUCUAAGCCUCAUGAAUUAAGUGCAGGCAUUGCAGCAUGACGGAUCUCACAAGACAUCAUCUAGAAUCACAGGAAGACGUAAAAAUCUUACAUUUGAUUUUUCUUAAAAAUGCAUCAUUUUCUUCCAAAGCCGUAACUCUAACAGUUAUAGAGAGAAAAAUAAGGAUGUCAGCACUUUCUUUUUUCAGAAAAAGGGUACUUUUCCAAGCUCAGUUCCUGGUUUCAAAGGGACAUGACUCACAUUUUCUCGCAUGCCUGGACACGACAGAACGGUUUGGUAGGACACAGACAUGAGUGUGACAGCUUGAAAUCCCCAGUCCAUGGAAGAAGCAAUCAAUUUUCAUCUUCCUCAUUGAUGAGCUCCUCUGCAGUAUGAGGUUAUAUAGGCCAUUUGUGUGGAAAGCCUUCAUUUCUGGCUGCCAUGUUGAAGAACCUUGGGAAGACUUGACUUCUUUCAUGCUCAUCAGUUCCAAAAACCUGACCUCCUUAGAGGAUGUCGUGGGGUGAGUGACAAAAAUAGCUCAUUGCUACUGAAAGUGCUGCCCUUGGGAGCGCUGUGAGGAAGGCAGCACGUUGGGUGCCAUGGCCAUUGGCAGCCCGGAGAAAGAGGCUGCUGGUGGCUGCAGGGCUCCUGUGCUGCUGGAAGUUGUUCACACUUGAGCCUUCCUGGGAAAGCAAGGGCAAUCUAAAUUUCUAAUGCAGCAAAACAAGCAGGAAAAAGAGAAAUCAAAGCCUACCUUCAAAGGCCCCUUUUAUGCCUCAUUAAAAAACUGAGAAAGACCCAAGUGGGGUCUAACCACUCAGUCCUUUUAAUCUCCUUAAGUCUGCUGUGGGCUUGCUUGGUUUUUUGGUUUUUUUUUCCUCCGGUUUGUCACAAACCUGUCACAGCAAUAUGUGCUGACAGCCAUGCGACAACAUUGCUGAGUCCCCAGUUCUACACCAGGCAGCAUGGCCUAAUGCGGCCUGCCGCCCAGGAGCAACAAGCUCCUCUUCCCACCCACAGACACCUUCUAGCUCAGGCAGGCUGCAGACCCACUUUCUGCCCUGGACAUUUAUCCAGGUACUUAGCAGAAUUUGUUAUUUUUGCAAGCUUUGACAAUCUCUAGCAAUCUCAAAAGUGACUGUGACUCUGUAUCUGAGAAAGAAAUGGAGAAGUCUCCAGUGGGCAGUCAUGGUUUGGCUACUAUGAUAUUGAAGAGCCACACAUUCUCCUACAGCCUCUACAAGUAUGCAUCAUUUAAAAUUUAUUUGACUUCUUCCAGCUUUUUCUUUCUUUCUUUUUUUUUUUUUUUUUUUUUUUUUUGGACUUAUAUAGAUCUGGUUUGAUAAUUGUUUUCUUCCUUGGAAUACUUUGCCUUCACAAAAGUUCAUUUCUACUCAGAGACCAGAUGCAUCCUCUAAUAACAAUUACGUAGCACAGAGCAAUAAACCUAUUGUUUAGCCCAGUAAAUCAGGCCGUAUAAUCAGAGAAGGCAGACUGUUAUUUCUUCACUGUACAUUUGUAAUGCUUUGUUUGACUUCUUAUAGGCUCAGGCAUAUAUACAUACAUACACAAAUAUAUAUGUUUCUAUGCUUUGGGCAUGGCAAUCUGCAGAACAAAAAGAGCAGAGCCCCAUGUUAGUGAAGGGCUGCUGAUCCAGCAUGACAGUGCCCAUCCUUGUAAGUCCUGACCAUGGGGCCUCUGAGCCCCCACCCUACAGUCCCAAGGUUGAGCAAUGGGAGGUUCACUGGUGCUGUGAAAUUGAACACCUUAGCAAGAAUGCUCCCCACAAUACAAGAAAAUGUGUCAGAGAAUAAUAGAAUAGUAGUAAAAUAGAAUAAUAGUAUAAUAGAACUCUUCAUUAGAAGGACCCAUAGAGUUCACCUAGUCCAGCUCCCUUGCAAUGAACGGGGACACCAACAGCUAGAUCAGGUGCUCAGAACCCCGUCCAGCCUGGCCUUGAAUGUCUCCUGGAAAAAGGCAUUCAUCACUCUCUGGGCAACCUGUUCCAGUGCUUCACCACCCUUACUGUAAAAAACUUCUUUAUUAUACCCAGUCUAAAUCUCUUGUCUUUUAGUUUGAAGCCAUUUCCCCUUGUCCUAUCACAGCAACUAAAUAGUGUGUCACCCCCAUUAAAUGCAUUUCUCAGGGUCACGUCUCUCUGGGGCACUCCUGGAUGAGUGGCUCUUCAUCUUGCAGGCUUCCAGCACAAGAACUAGCUCAGCUAAGUCUUUUCUCAUAUAAAUAGCCUGUUGGCACAUAAACCAUGCUCAGGGGCUGCAUUCUACCAAUAAAUUCUGGUUUCUGCUCUGAACAUCCACCUAUCCCUUCAGCAACAAGUCUUCCAACCAUGCUUUUGCACAACAGCCUUCACUCUUGCCUUGCAGCUGUCUGUUGCAAUGUUAUACUGUGGGAAUAGGAUGUAUCUAGUUUUAUGUUUGGCAGUCGGCACUGCAGAAGGUCCCUGACAUCCGUAUUCUGACUCCUGCAAUGGUACCUGUAGUAGGCUACCAGCACUUGUUGUUCUGUCCCUUGAACGUGCCCCGCUGUUUAAAUUCUUCCUGUGCAAUCUUCAUUUCCCUCCCCUAUAGCUUAUAGCUGCAUGGGUAACUAUUAAUAGCACAUUGCUCCCAGAAGACCUGCACUGGAAAUGCAGAGCCUGGGGUACGAAGAACUGAGGGCUUUUGACACUUUACCAAAAGCCAGUCCAGGCUGUCCCCUUAUCAAAAGUGCCAUCCCACUGCAGUUUACAUGGUGUGCCCAGCUGCAUGUGCAAAUCGUAUCAGCACAAGUCCCAUGGGCUCUGUCAAGGAGCUGGGCAGCAAAGCCUCACUCUGCAUCAGUCUGGCUGCCCUCUGCCCUGCAGAUAGGAAGCCUCAGCUCCCAGAGCCUGAAAACUCUGUCAGGUUACCGACAAAGAGGAAAAGGCACUGGGGAGUCAAGAGAUUCAGGCUUGUUUCCCAGAUUUGAAACAGUUGUCUCUCAUGGCCUUGUGCAAAAUGCUUUUUCUCCACUCCCUCCGGGUCCUUAUCAGGAAAACUGGAACAGCAGCUUCUCGACUCCCUUCUGUCCUGCCUGCCCCAGUGCUAAUGGGAAGAGUUUUGCUGAACGUGGUAGAGCACAACCCAGCACAAGGAGUUCUCACAAGGGCAGUGGUGGGCCCACGUCCUAAACACCACCAUAAGCAACCAGGUUAGGAGCCAACAUUCCCUGCUUAAUAUCAAACUCUGCUUUUUCUGAUAAUGUGGUAUAUGAAGAGAUUGUAUUCUGCACUGAAAAGCUGCCCUGGGGUUGUGAGAGAUGUGCAGCCCUGUAGCCUCAGGAUGCUCUAGGUUCUCUGUCAGGUUUUUAUGGGAACACAGCAGGCGUGGUUUAUAUGGGUACAGAGCAUGUCUAGGGGGAGCAUGACAUUCACAUGGUGAUGUGGGACGCCAGUAGCAGAGCUUGCAGGGCUGCACACCUCUGUGGUGCCCACUGACCCUACUCAUAUAUUCCCAGACCCUUGAGGAGAACAUCAUCGAGUUCCUAAUUCUUUUG
ensembl:lncRNA